AUUGAACGCUGGCGGCAUGCCUUACACAUGCAAGUCGAACGGUAACAGGUCUUCGGAUGCUGACGAGUGGCGAACGGGUGAGUAAUACAUCGGAACGUGCCUAGUAGUGGGGGAUAACUACUCGAAAGAGUGGCUAAUACCGCAUGAGAUCUAAGGAUGAAAGCAGGGGAUCGCAAGACCUUGUGCUACUAGAGCGGCCGAUGGCAGAUUAGGUAGUUGGUGGGAUAAAAGCUUACCAAGCCGACGAUCUGUAGCUGGUCUGAGAGGACGAUCAGCCACACUGGGGCUGAGACACGGCCCAGACUCCUACGGGAGGCAGCAGUGGGGAAUUUUGGACAAUGGGCGCAAGCCUGAUCCAGCAAUGCCGCGUGCAGGAUGAAGGCCUUCGGGUUGUAAACUGCUUUUGUACGGAACGAAAAGCCCUGGGUUAAUACCCUGGGGUCAUGACGGUACCGUAAGAAUAAGCACCGGCUAACUACGUGCCAGCCGCCGCAGUAAUAC
rnacentral:rRNA from 1 species